UACGGAGGGUGCAAGCGUUGUUCGGAAUCAUUGGGCGUAAAGCGCGUGUAGGCGGCUUGGCAAGUCAGUUGUGAAAGCCCGGGGCCCAACCCCGGAAUUGCAUCUGAAACUGCCUGGCUAGAGUCCCGGAGAGGAAGGCAGAAUUCCCGGUGUAGGGGUGAAAUCCGUAGAUAUCGGGAGGAACACCAGUGGCGAAGGCGACUUCCUGGCCUGUUCUUGACGCUGAGGCGCGAAAGCUAGGGGAGCAAACGGG
rnacentral:rRNA from 1 species